GAGGAAACUCAAAUGAGUCGGGUUUUCUUCGUUGAUACCGGAAGCAGAAGAACCGGAUUGCGGGACGGGCCCGUGCUGGGUCGCGCAAAAUGACCAACUUUUACGCACGGAAACUUCACAUUCGCUGGAGUCGCGAAGCAGGGCCACUCCGAGCUGAACAGACAACCAUGAAACUUAAAUUCAGCUAAGCAACGACCGGGCCCAGGAAUGCUGACCUUGGCGAGCGAACCGGGCCAAAGACUGAGCUGCUAUUAGUAUAGCAGGGUCAAAAGAGUCAAGAUCAGAUGAAUCAGAUGUGUUGGCCGGGAUGUCCAGUGUAUGUGUGCAUCUGGUGUGGAUCCAGGUGGGUCCAGAGGGAAGUGAGGCAUUAAAGCCAGUGGAUGCAGGGGGAGAGGGGUUGUCCUCCCCUGGAGUGAGAAGAGGCUAUAAUCUGCUUCCCUGGCUCUCCAUGAAAGAAAAGAGAGGACACAGAGACACACACAAGAGACUGACCCCCUCCUACAGCUUCAUCCUUCUCAUCUGUUAUCUUCAUAUACCUCUGCUAUCCUUCUGUUUUUUCCUUCCUCAUCAACCUUUCCAUCAUAAUGUAGCCGAGUUCUUCUACAUUAAAACCACAGUAUGUCGAUUCAUUGACCAUGACCGUCACGCCAAGCUGUAUCAAUUAGGUAAAACAUUUUUGGCUUUCUUUAUUUAUAAAAAAAGGAAUUUCCUCGAUGGCAUCGGAGAGCCUUUAAAGCUUGUAUAAGAUGGCAUUUGAGAACCAUUUCAAUUUAAUAUAGAAUUUUUUUUCUAUACAGUAGUUUUAUCUGAAUGCAAACUUUUUGGGACGGUUUCCCGAACAGGGAUUAGACUAGUCCUAGACUAAAAUAAAAUGUAAGAGCUGUCCAUACUGAAAACAACUUGUACUGACAUAUCUUAAAAUACAUCAGUGCCCUUUGUUUUGCCUCAAAAUGCACGCCAGUAAUGUUUUUAAUAAGGCAUGUUGUUUAAAACUAGUUAUAUUUCCUAAUUAAACUAAGCCCUAGUCCUGGCUUAAGAUAAUCCCUUUCCGCGAAACCACCCCUUUAAGUUUCAC